rnacentral:misc_RNA from 1 species
GAUGAAGAACGUAGCGAAAUGCGAUACUUGGUGUGAAUUGCAGAAUCCCGUGAACCAUCGAGUCUUUGAACGCAAGUAGCGCCCGAAGCCAUCAGGUUGAGGGCACGUCUGCCUGGGCGUCACAUAUCGUUGCCCAAUGCCUAUUGCAGUGCAAUAGGAAUUUCUAGGGCGAAUGAUGGCUUCCCGUGAGCGUUGUUGCCUCGCGGUUGGUUGAAAAUCGAGUCCUUGGUAGGGUGUGCCAUGGUAGAUGGUGGUCGAGUUAGAACGAUACCGAUCAUGUGCAUGCUCCCCAAAAUAUGGCCUCUAUGACCCACACACGUCUUUUGACGCUCAUGACGAGACCUCAGGUCAGGCGGGGCUACCCGCUGAAUUUAAGCAUAUCAAUAAGCGGAGGA